AUGCGUCCGCGUUUCUUCUUCUGCUCCGCUCGCGUUGUAGCCUGGGGGGUUGGGACACGGCACCUCCUGAGCUGGUUCCUGUUGCCCGCUGUGGUGGUCCACCGGGGCUUCAUUACCGGAGAAGCUUGGGCCUGCGCCCUACCGGCGCACCCAGCCGAGCGCCCCAUCCAACAAGCGACGCCACGGCUGAGGCGCUACAUGUGUAUUUAUACAUCGAGCUCCAUGAGGCGAGCAAUGCAGCGAGUAUUUAUACAUCGAUGGAUCGAUACAUGUGUGAUUGUGUUCGCCUCUUCCUUAACUUGCUGA
rnacentral:rRNA from 1 species